rnacentral:rRNA from 1 species
CGGCGUACUAAGAAUGCAAGUCGAACGGGGCCACGGGCUUCGGUCUGUGGUCGAGUGGCGAACGGGUGAGUAACACGUAGGAACCUGUCCUCGAGUGGGGGAUAACGCUGGGAAACCGGCGCUAAUACCGCAUGGGGUCGCUCUUGCGAGAGCGGGGUGAUCAAAGGUUUUCGGAUCGCUCGAGUGAGGGGCCUGCGGCCGAUUAGCUAGUUGGUGGGGUAACGGCCUACCAAGGCGACGAUCGGUAGCUGGUCUGAGAGGAUGGUCAGCCACACUGGGACUGAGACACGGCCCAGACUCCUACGGGAGGCAGCAGUUAGGAAAUUUUCGCAAUGGGGGAAACCCUGACGGAGUAACGCCGCGUGGAGGAUGACGGCCUUCGGGUUGUAAACUCCUUUUCUGUGGGAAGAGUAGAAGACGGUACCACAGGAAGAAGCCUCGGCUAACUACGUGCCAGCAGCCGCGGUAAUACGUANGAGGCGAGCGUUGUCCGGAAUUACUGGGCGUAAAGAGCGCGU